rnacentral:rRNA from 1 species
UACGAAGGGGGCUAGCGUUGCUCGGAAUCACUGGGCGUAAAGCGUGCGUUAGGUGGUUUGUUAAGCUGAUGUGAAAGCCCUGGGCUCAACCUGGGAAUUGCUUGGAUACUGGCAGGCUAGAGUGCGGUAGAGGGUAGGUGGAAUUUCCGGUGUAGCAGUGAAAUGCGUAGAGAUCGGGAGGACACCAGUGGCGAAGGCGACU